UCGCAAUCGCAACACUCAGAACCUACAUGAAUAUGGUUAAUGUAUAAUUCAUCCUUUUGACCCUUGUGUUUAGGAUGACUCAGGGUUAAACUGUCAACCCUGAUCAGAUCAUCCGAAUCGUGCUCAACUCAAACAGUCCUGUGACUCCUCACAAGGACUACCCUGGCAAAAGUUUUUCUAAAUUGAAACACGACUGUACACAGCUUCUAAACUGGAGUGGUCAAUCCCAUCUUGAUACACGCACCGACAAGUCAAGUACUUGACUACACCCAGCAGCCUUCCGUCACUGAAUUAAAAAUUCAGGUAGUCCAGUGCCUAAGUGCAGUGAGUUGCUUGCAAGUCACCAUGGCGGUCUCAGGUCGGAGGGAUAUUUAUACCCAUAUUCCAUCGGAGCAAAUCUUGACAGCAGAAAUAGCUCCGAAGUCGGUCACGUUCAUUGC
rnacentral:lncRNA from 1 species